CGGGACACGUGGUAUCCUGUCUGAAUAUGGGGGGACCAUCCUCCAAGGCUAAAUACUCCUGACUGACCGAUAGUGAACCAGUACCGUGAGGGAAAGGCGAAAAGAACCCCGGCGAGGGGAGUGAAAAAGAACCUGAAACCGUGUACGUACAAGCAGUGGGAGCACGCUUAGGCGUGUGACUGCGUACCUUUUGUAUAAUGGGUCAGCGACUUAUAUUCUGUAGCAAGGUUAACCGAAUAGGGGAGCCGAAGGGAAACCGAGUCUUAACUGGGCGUUAAGUUGCAGGGUAUAGACCCGAAACCCGGUGAUCUAGCCAUGGGCAGGUUGAAGGUUGGGUAACACUAACUGGAGGACCGAACCGACUAAUGUUGAAAAAUUAGCGGAUGACUUGUGGCUGGGGGUGAAAGGCCAAUCAAACCGGGAGAUAGCUGGUUCUCCCCGAAAGCUAUUUAGGUAGCGCCUCGUGAAUUCAUCUCCGGGGGUAGAGCACUGUUUCGGCAAGGGGGUCAUCCCGACUUACCAACCCGAUGCAAACUGCGAAUACCGGAGAAUGUUAUCACGGGAGACACACGGCGGGUGCUAACGUCCGUCGUGAAGAGGGAAACAACCCAGACCGCCAGCUAAGGUCCCAAAGUCAUGGUUAAGUGGGAAACGAUGUGGGAAGGCCCAGACAGCCAGGAUGUUGGCUUAGAAGCAGCCAUCAUUUAAAGAAAGCGUAAUAGCUCACUGGUCGAGUCGGCCUGCGCGGAAGAUGUAACGGGGCUAAACCAUGCACCGAAGCUGCGGCAGCGACGCUUAUGCGUUGUUGGGUAGGGGAGCGUUCUGUAAGCCUGUGAAGGUGUACUGUGAGGUAUGCUGGAGGUAUCAGAAGUGCGAAUGCUGACAUAAGUAACGAUAAAGCGGGUGAAAAGCCCGCUCGCCGGAAGACCAAGGGUUCCUGUCCAACGUUAAUCGGGGCAGGGUGAGUCGACCCCUAAGGCGAGGCCGAAAGGCGUAGUCGAUGGGAAACAGGUUAAUAUUCCUGUACUUGGUGUUACUGCGAAGGGGGGACGGAGAAGGCUAUGUUGGCCGGGCGACGGUUGUCCCGGUUUAAGCGUGUAGGCUGGUUUUCCAGGCAAAUCCGGAAAAUCAAGGCUGAGGCGUGAUGACGAGGCACUACGGUGCUGAAGCAACAAAUGCCCUGCUUCCAGGAAAAGCCUCUAAGCAUCAGGUAACAUCAAAUCGUACCCCAAACCGACACAGGUGGUCAGGUAGAGAAUACCAAGGCGCUUGAGAGAACUCGGGUGAAGGAACUAGGCAAAAUGGUGCCGUAACUUCGGGAGAAGGCACGCUGAUAUGUAGGUGAAGUGAUUUACU
rnacentral:rRNA from 1 species